CAGCCUGGUCUCACAAACAAAACGUACAUAUUUACACGUAAAUUAAAACAGUCCAAUACGUAUGUGCUUUUACGUAUUUAUAGUGCCUUUACGUAUUAUCUGGACGUAAUUGCAGGAUCGAUACGUAUCUAAAUGUACGUAAAAUGUCCUAAAAUACGUACAGAUUAAACGUGUUCUGACCAGUAGUUAUCCAGUAACAUUUGCUUAUGAAGCCGCUUUUUUAUGAAGCGCUUUUAAUGCGCAUUAGAUUUAAUACUCCGUUUAAAACACUUUGGCACUUUAAUACUUACUUGCUACAGAGCAUUAUACACUUUACGAUGUAAUUCCUUUUUAUUUAAAAUAAUGAUCGGACAAAACCAGAACAGAUCGCGUUCCCGACCGGACUCAUUUCAGCGUUACAACAGAUUUACAAUUUCAGCGACGGUGUUGACAUCUCUUCUCCAGAUCAAACUAACAUAAUAUGCUGCAUACCGAUUCAUAUUAUUCAUCUGAACCGUUCUCUAACUGAAUCCAUAGAGCUGUUUGGACGGCCAGACCAACAUCCAAAGGUCGCUACGAACUACCAUUGCCCCAUCUUCACUCUGUGCAAUGUAGAGAAACAUGGAUACCAGGUGUGCUAGAAAUGCAGAAGAGUGGCUACUGGCCUGCAACUGUAAACUUCUGUACCAUUUAUGAUGAGGAAGUCUUUGUGUCCUUCGAAGACUUGAAAAUGGCUGCUCCAGGAUUGUCCCGUUUAGCAUUCAUAAGAAUGCUUGACAUGAAGACAGUGCACUAUGGCAGAACUCAGCUGAAUCUAAAGAAAGACACCGAAAGCCUACAAGAACCUACAAUGAAAAUGAACUGGUUGUAGAUGAUGGUCACAGAUGUUCAGGAGUGGGCUCACACUACAACUGUAGGAGACAGUGAUGUUGCAAUUCAGACAACAAGGAACACAAUAGAAGAAUUAUCUUUGUGCAUUAAACAACGGCAGCAUCGUCUUUAUAGACACACUGACUCAGCUGAAUCUAAAGAAAGACACCGAAAGCCUACAAGAACCUACAAUGAAAAUGAACUGGUUGUAGAUGAUGGUCACAGAUGUUCAGGAGUGGGCUCACACUACAACUGUAGGAGACAGUGAUGUUGCAAUUCAGACAACAAGGAACACAAUAGAAGAAUUAUCUUUGUGCAUUAAACAACGGCAGCAUCGUCUUUAUAGACACACUGCCACAAUCAAAGGACGGAAUAAAAUAAGAAGAAAAAUCAAUGAGGAGAAAAAGAAGCUUGCUUUUGCCAUUGAACACCACAAUGCCCUUGUUGACCCCACCCAGAAAAAUUAACCCCUGGAAUCUUCCAGAUGAUGGGAUUCAAGGACUUCAAUGUGUGUUGAAGAGAAAAUUACAUCAGUUAAGAGCUCACCAGGGCACUGUAAAAACAAGUUAUCAGACAAUAGACAUCAUAAACGAACAUAUUACUGUUGAAGAAUGUAAAUAUCCCAGCUGGCCAUAAGACUCAGAAGCCCUUUAUUCAAGCAGUGCUGAUCUGAGCUCUGAUGAAGAUGAUACAUGUCUGCUGUAGUUAUUUACUAAAUACGUUGCAGUUUUUUUUCUUUCACUUUAUCUAUUACUCUUCUUUCUCCAUCAGUCUUCUCUUUUUUUUAGUUUUUCGCUCUGAUUGCAUGUGUGCUUGCCUUAUACCAUGGGAGAUGAAAUAUUAACUUUUUAAUAAAGGAUGGAUUAAAAUGUUAAUUUGGGUUUUUCUGAUGGGAUUUACAGACAUAUAUCCUGUGCAUUUUUACAGACAUGUCCUACAGUGGAUUGCUGGGAUUGGGGGCUGUAAGAGUAGUUUUGAGAAAUGUUUCUAUUUUGUGUGCAACAGAAGAUUAUUUCCAAAUCUAAACAGUGAUAAAUAAAAAGUAAUUAUAUGUA